rnacentral:lncRNA from 1 species
GAGAAUCGGGAGGCUGGGUCGAUUUGGAAAUCUCCCUUGUUUCAGUGCUGCAUUGGGGCCGGCUGGGAGGGAGAUGAGCUUUGUUUUGAAGCAAAGGAAAAAAGUGUGGAUUUGAGCCUGGGAGAUUUGCUGGAUACGGGGGAUGAUGAAUCGCAUGAGGAUUCAUGUGGGAAGCUUGGAUUGGCUUGGAUAGUGGAGAAAAUCUGGGAAGGAUAGGGAAGGAUGGGAGAUGAUCCGAAACAGGGGAAGAGAAGAGGAGAAGAAUGAUGCGGAAGAAUAAUACGGGCAUGAGUGAAUUUCAUUAUUAUUUUUUUAGAGAGGUGGUUGGGGUCCACUCGGGUAGGUUGGGAGGGCUCUGUUUUGCUAUGUUGGGAAGCCUGGUGCACACGGGAAAGAUGACGUGGACAAAGGAAUGGGUAGCUUCAUGCACAUGUGGAAGAAAGUAAUCCACACAUGAAACAGAUUGGGACUAAUUCGUGAAUGAGGUGACUCGACCUGCACACACAUUAGACUAAAUCGAUAUAGAAAAUUAAACCAAACUUGAA